rnacentral:lncRNA from 1 species
UGGAUGGGUGAGUUUUGCUAAUAACUGAUUUUCUGCCUGUGUUUUUGUUGUUGUGGUUUUAAUUCCAGAGUUUAGAGCUGUAUGAAAUGAGCCAGUCCUUUACCGUCGCCGCAUUCAGGUCGCUGUGUUUUUGGACACAAGGGCUGACCCAUAGGUUGAAUGGAGCCAGGUAGCUCUGCCGAAGCCAGGCGAUUGCUGCUGAUCAAAACUAGCCAGCAUUUUGCUCUGUUCUUCUACUUUUUAUGGGGAAAAUUUGUUUAUGGCUCUAUAUUAGCCAAAAAAAGGUUGAGCGGCGGAUUCCGUCCACUUCUUCACACAAAGCUUUAAUAUUUGAUAAUGUUAUUUAAUAAAAUCUGUUACAAGGUUCUUAAAUAACUCUUUAUGACCCUUUUAUGAUUUAUGUCACGACGCAUAACCUCGGGUGUAUAUGUUUUAUGUUAUUACAGAUGUGUAAACUGAUAUUAAUUGUACACAUUUUCCCCUGAAGUAUAAGAACUUUCUUUUUUUUUUCUCCUUUUCCCUUGGCUAUAUAACUAGACAUAUAAUAAUUUCUACAGAAGAAAGUUCUUUUCUUCCUGCCAUUCACAACCAGAGAUGUGCUGCCCCGAACACAGAGGAUGUCGAUCCGUCUCUUCUGCUACGAUUCCAAAAUCAAUUCCAUCGCCCUGUAGCGCUCCUUGAUCCUUCGCUGACUUCAGCAGAGCUGCAAGCAGUGGGGCAGUUCAUGAUCAGAUGACUUUCCAUUGACUCUGGGAGGCUUCUGGGUGUCUCUCCCAGCUCCUUAUUUUGUAAGCACUUACUGAAAUGCUGCCUGAAAAAACAAACACGAAGCUUAAAUCACUGGUCCAAGUCCCGGGGGGAUAUUCCCAUUCACUCCAAUGGGCACCGGCCCAGGCUCUCACUGUGCAGAGCAUGGUAACUUCAUUGCAAUAGGCCCUGUGAAGGCUUUGCCAAAUUAAAGUUAAAAUUUUGUAAUUCUUUCAGUUUAAUUGUCCAUUGUAUCUGAUCCUGAGCGACUCCUUCAGACUUCGGAAAUAAUCAGACCACUGGGUGAAAUCCUGGCUUCACCGAGGUCAAUGGCAGAAGCUUCCACGGACUUAAUGAGGCCACAGGCUCUCCCCACGUCUUCUGUGGUGUUAUUUAUGUUGUGGUUCAAUGAGCGGUUGUCUAAUGCAGAUGCGUAAAUGACUCCUAAUGAGAUCAAGAUCCCCACGGUGGUUGGGGUUGGACGAGAAUACGAUCUUGGCUGUCUGUGAUCAAGGACAGCGGGUUUAGGAGGAAGAUACAGAGCGAACAUGAGUGGCCUGUGCACUGCCUGCUGGCAGAAAUUUGGCUCCCGUUGCCCUGUCCCACUGAAACCCUUCCACAUCACUGAUGGAUCCAUAGAUAAUCAAUGGAGACUGAUGGCUAAGGGUUCAGACUGGGGCACGACCGCCAGUGAAAAGGGGUUUGAUUCAAGGCUUUGAAACAGAAAACAAACCUUUCUGAAAAACAAAAUCACCCAUUAAAGUUGAUGAUAAUGUGAAAAAUGUUCAUCUCACCCCCAGAAAUGUACUUUCUUUCCACGUUAAGGAAGUGAAACACAGAACGCGAUAAGGAGCGUUAGAGGACUUCUUCUCUGCCAGAAACCGGUUGGUUGCAAAUGCCUUCAAAUGAAAACAACUCAGAAAUUUCAAAAAUGUUUGCAAAAGGACAUUUUCACUUUUCAACCAACUCUGUUAUUGAUUUUCCAGGCUGAAUGAGGAAUGCUUGUUGAAUUUUAUGGAAACUGAUAGUGGGACUAUAUGAAACUGGCCAUAAAAGAUAACAGAUUUUGUUUUAAAGUCAGAUAAAAGUUAUAGUCCCAUGUUAUUUGGCAUAUGAAUUUCCUAUGAUACCAAUAAAAAUGUUAGUUAUAAAGCAUUUCCUGAGGAAUGGUUGUAACCCCA